rnacentral:tRNA from 1 species
UUAAAUGAAUCUAAUAAAUAGAAUAUCACUGUUAAUGAUAGUUAAGAGACUAGCACUCUCAUUUAA